rnacentral:rRNA from 1 species
UCGAGCGAGAAGUUUUAUUUAGAUACUUCGGUUGAUGAAUAAGACGGACAGCGGCGAAAGGGAGAGUAACGAGUAGAUUACGUGCCCAAGGGUUCGGGAUAGCCAAGCGAAAGCGUGGGUAAUACCGAAUAAUGUCUCCGGACCAAAGAUUUAUUGCCCUUGGAGCGGUCUGCUUACUAUUAGCUUGUUGGUGGGGUAAUGGCCUACCAAGGCGAAGAUGGUUAGCGGGUGUGAGAGCAUGGCCCGUCUCACUGGGACUGAGAUACUGCCCAGACACCUACGGGUGGCUGCAGUCGAGAAUCUUCCGCAAUGGGCGAAAGCCUGACGGAGCGACGCCGCGUGGUGGACGAAGGCCCUCGGGUUGUAAACACCUGUCGUAGGGGAGGAAAUUUUGACCGAUCCUAGGAGGAAGCACAGGCUAAACUCGUACCAGCAGCCGCGGUAAUACGAGUUGUGCAAACGUUAUUCGGAAUCACUGGGCUUAAAGGGUGCGUAGGCGGGCUUGCAGGUCAGGUGUGAAAUCCCACGGCUCAACCGUGGAAUUGCGCUUGAAACCACAAGUCUUGAGGGGAUCAGAGGAGAGCGGAACUGAUGGUGGAGCGGUGAAAUGCGUUGAUAUUAUCAGGAACACCGGUGGCGAAGGCGGCUCUCUGGGAUC